rnacentral:rRNA from 1 species
UGGGGAAUCUUGCGCAAUGCGCGAAAGCGUGACGCAGCAACGCCGCGUGGAGGAAGACGGUCUUCGGAUUGUAAACUCCUUUCAGUUGGGACGAAGCUCAACGGGUUAAUAGCUCGAUGGAGUGACGGUACCUUCAGAAGAAGCCCCGGCUAACUACGUGCCAGCAGCCGCGGUAAUACGUAGGGGGCUAGCGUUGUCCGGAAUCAUUGGGCGUAAAGAGCGUGUAGGCGGUCCGGUAAGUCCGCUGUGAAAGUCGGGGGCUCAACCCUCGAAUGCCGGUGGAUACUGUCGGGCUAGAGUGCGGAAGAGGCGAGUGGAAUUCCUGGUGUAGCGGUGAAAUGCGCAGAUAUCAGGAGGAACACCUAUUGCGAAGGCAGCUCGCUGGGACGUAACUGACGCUGAGACGCGAAAGCGUGGGGAGCAAACA